GCCCGGGUAGCUCAAUCGGUAGAGCGUGUGGCUCUUAUGAAUAUUUCAGAUAAUCACUAAAAACCUCAAGGUCGUGGGUUCGAGCCCCACCUCGGGCU